rnacentral:sRNA from 1 species
UUAACGAGUGCCGGGCGCAAGCCCGUCUUCGCACACCCUUUGUCGACUCUCCGCAGUUGCUUCGGCGGCGGUGGCGCCCCCUCGGGGGGGCCCCCCGCCGGAGGACCAACCUAAACGCAUGGCAAACCGGUCUGUCCGAGGCUAUACGCGAAAUCAGUCAAAACUUUCAACAACGGAUCUCUUGGUUCGGGCAUCGAUGAAGAACGCAGCGAAAUGCGAUACGUAAUGUGAAUUGCAGAAUUCAGUGAAUCAUCGAAUCUUUGAACGCACAUUGCGCCCGUCGGCAUUCCGACGGGCACGCCUGUCCGAGCGUCAUUGCACCCGUCAAGCCUCGCUUGGUGUUGGGGGACGUCGCGCCACGCGCGACCCCCCCGGAACCCGUUGGCGGUGGCCCUUCGCCCCGAUCGUCGCGCUCGUUACGACGGCGCGGGGGGACCGCCCGCCCAACUGGCCGGCAACGGCCACACAACACGC